rnacentral:rRNA from 1 species
UACGGAGGGUGCGAGCGUUGUCCGGAAUCAUUGGGCGUAAAGGGCGCGUAGGCGGCCCGGUCAGUUCGUGGUGAAAGCGCGGGGCUCAACCCUGCGUCGGCCAUGAAUACUGCCGCGGCUGGAGCACUGUAGAGGCAGGCGGAAUUCCGGGUGUAGCGGUGGAAUGCGUAGAGAUCCGGAGGAACACCGGUGGCGAAGGCGGCCUGCUGGGCAGUUGCUGACACUGAGGCGCGACAGCGUGGGGAGCAAACAGG